rnacentral:snoRNA from 1 species
ACAGUCCCAGCUCCGCAUAGCAAUGCUCGAUGUGCUCUUGCGGCGUUUGCGACUGUUAGAAUAACAUAGCUCGUAUUAUAUCUUUGUCGGCUGGUCAUAUUCAAUGGGUAGUUGAUGAAAAUGUACGGGCCACAUC